rnacentral:lncRNA from 13 species
CAGAAGAGAACACCUGGCCCCCUCUGGGCUGAUGGGCAGAGGUUCCCUGGCCCAGGGCUCUGGGGACAGUGAUACCCAGGGUAAGUUAGAGUCCUUGUAUUGUCACAGACCAGACUUUUCACAUCCCUUCCAUACAUCCCACUCCCAAGCUCAGUUCCCAGGCUCUGCAGUGCUGUGUUCACCGCGGGCAUAAACACGCCUUCAGAAUGGGGCAGGAGAGGUGGGGACCUCCCUGAACCCAGCUCCAGGCCCUCUUCUGCAUUUCAAAUCUGCCGACUUGCCCUCUGGGUAGGUCCUCUAAUCUCCAUGUUUAUCCAUCCCAGGGUAGCCAUUGUCAGGCCCUGAGCUGGAUUCUGAGGCUCGUGAACAAAUAUGGUCCCUGAUGUCUGAGAGGAAAUCAUUUCUCUACAAAGUUGUGGGCACCCAGGUAAAGAAAUAAACCACACACAAAAUAAACGUGUGCUGGAGAGGCAACCAAAAGGAAGAAUCAAAGGCCAUGUGCCCCACUGAUCACUGAGCUCACCUCCUCUUGGGAACCAUGGAAAGGAAAGGGGAGCAUGAGUUCUGGAAGCCUCAGCCUCUGUGAGAGGUGCAGAGACAGGUUUUCCUCAUGUUGCUCAGGCUGGUCUUAAACUCCCGGGCUCAAGUGAUCUUCUCACCUCAGCCUCCUAACGUGUUGGGAUUACAGGACUUUCCUGUCAUGAGCUUCACUUUGUUGAAACUGGACAGAACAGCUCAGGAUGCCAACAUGCCAGGACAGAGGUCAGUCUGCUAAACGGUCGCACCCUCCUUGUCUCAGACUGCUGGGGCAGAAGCAGGGCACUAGAAACCUGUUGCGACUAUCUACCUGAACUGGCUUCCUGCUCAUACAUACUGUUAGGAAGUGAGCCUGAAUUGCAGGCACCUCCUGCUCACCACGUCCUCAGUAUCACCUGGCCCAACUGCUGUCAGUGCAGGUAUGCACAUGUAUCUACGUGUGGAGAUAAGAUGUGAGUGGAUUCACACAUUGUUGGAUAUGUGUGUAUGUGUGUACAAAUGGGGCUAUAACACGUGUGUAUGUUUGUGGGCAGCUGUGUGAAUUUGUGUCUAUGCACGUGGGCAAGGGGCUGUGGGUUGGUACACUCAGGUGGAUUAGAUAAAGGCAAAGAUAUGGACGUGCACAUGAGCCUGAGUUAGAGUGUUGGCAGACUGAGUUAGACACAUGCAUGCCCAGGCUAACAGCUGACUCGAGAGUUGUCGCUUAUCAAUAGCUGGAGCAGCUGCCAUAAGUCCACCAGAGGAAGAGCUGUCAGAAGCUGACUUUAAGGUGACACUGUGUCGUACUGCACUGCAGGUACCAUGGCAGGGAGGCCCCAGGAGACAGGGAGCUCACCACCCUUCAGGGGUGACGCGCGUUUGGAGGAUGGGGUGACUGGUGGGCCUGAGGCUGCCCAGGCUCUGUAGGUAAGGGCCAAGUCUCAUGUCUCAUGGCAGAUGAGCCCUUCCGAGCCUUGACAAACCAAGACCCUCCACACAGCAAAGUCAAGAUCAGGGUCCAUGGUGCGAAACACCAUAAAGAACUGCUGUUUCCCCAGGUCCUUAGGAGAUUUUUGAGGACAGGGUUGUAUCUAGGGUGACUGCUAAAUACCAGGUUACCCAAGGCUUUGCUGGUUUUAGC